rnacentral:rRNA from 1 species
UACGUAGGUGGCAAGCGUUGUCCGGAUUUACUGGGCGUAAAGGGCGUGCAGGCGGUUUGUUAAGUGCAGGGUGAAAGCUCCCGGCUCAACUGGGAGAGGUCCUUGCAUACUGGCAAACUCGAGGGAGGCAGAGGAAAGUGGAAUUCCCGGUGUAGUGGUGAUAUGCGUAGAUAUCAAGAGGAACACCUGCGGCGAAGGCGGGUUGCUGGGCCGACACUGACGCUGAGGCGCGAAAGCUAGGGGAGCGAACGGG